rnacentral:tRNA from 1 species
CACCGUGAAGCUAAAAAAGCAUUAACCUUUUAAGUUAAAGAAUGAAAGUGUAAGUCUUUCCACAGUGA